rnacentral:rRNA from 1 species
GGUUAAGCGACUAAGCGUACACGGUGGAUGCCCUGGCAGUCAGAGGCGAUGAAGGACGUGCUAAUCUGCGAAAAGCGUCGGUAAGGUGAUAUGAACCGUUAUAACCGGCGAUGUCCGAAUGGGGAAACCCAGUGCAAUUCGUUGCACUAUCGUUAACUGAAUACAUAGGUUAACGAGGCGAACCGGGGGAACUGAAACAUCUAAGUACCCCGAGGAAAAGAAAUCAACCGAGAUUCCCCCAGUAGCGGCGAGCGAACGGGGAGCAGCCCAGAGUCUGAAUCAGCUUGUGUGUUAGUGGAACGGUCUGGAAAGUCCGACGGUACAGGGUGAUAGUCCCGUACACCAAAAUGCACAGGUUGUGAACUCGAAGAGUAGGGCGGGACACGUGGUAUCCUGUCUGAAUAUGGGGGGACCAUCCUCCAAGGCUAAAUACUCCUGACUGACCGAUAGUGAACCAGUACCGUGAGGGAAAGGCGAAAAGAACCCCGGCGAGGGGAGUGAAAAAGAACCUGAAACCGUGUACGUACAAGCAGUGGGAGCACCUUCGGGUGUGACUGCGUACCUUUUGUAUAAUGGGUCAGCGACUUAUAUUCUGUAGCAAGGUUAACCGUAUAGGGGAGCCGCAGGGAAACCGAGUCUUAACUGGGCGUUAAGUUGCAGGGUAUAGACCCGAAACCCGGUGAUCUAGCCAUGGGCAGGUUGAAGGUUGGGUAACACUAACUGGAGGACCGAACCGACUAAUGUUGAAAAAUUAGCGGAUGACUUGUGGCUGGGGGUGAAAGGCCAAUCAAACCGGGAGAUAGCUGGUUCUCCCCGAAAGCUAUUUAGGUAGCGCCUCGUGAAUUCAUCUUCGGGGGUAGAGCACUGUUUCGGCUAGGGGGUCAUCCCGACUUACCAACCCGAUGCAAACUACGAAUACCGAAGAAUGUUAUCACGGGAGACACACGGCGGGUGCUAACGUCCGUCGUGAAGAGGGAAACAACCCAGACCGCCAGCUAAGGUCCCAAAGUCAUGGUUAAGUGGGAAACGAUGUGGGAAGGCACAGACAGCCAGGAUGUUGGCUUAGAAGCAGCCAUCAUUUAAAGAAAGCGUAAUAGCUCACUGGUCGAGUCGGCCUGCGCGGAAGAUGUAACGGGGCUAAACCAUGCACCGAAGCUGCGGCAGCGACACUAUGUGUUGUUGGGUAGGGGAGCGUUCUGUAAGCCUGCGAAGGUGACCUGUGAGGGUUGCUGGAGGUAUCAGAAGUGCGAAUGCUGACAUAAGUAACGAUAAAGCGGGUGAAAAGCCCGCUCGCCGGAAGACCAAGGGUUCCUGUCCAACGUUAAUCGGGGCAGGGUGAGUCGACCCCUAAGGCGAGGCCGAAAGGCGUAGUCGAUGGGAAACAGGUUAAUAUUCCUGUACUUGGUGUUACUGCGAAGGGGGGACGGAGAAGGCUAUGUUAGCCGGGCGACGGUUGUCCCGGUUUAAGCAUGUAGGCUGAUUGUCCAGGCAAAUCCGGAUAAUCAAGGCUGAGGUGUGAUGACGAGGCACUACGGUGCUGAAGUAACAAAUGCCCUGCUUCCAGGAAAAGCCUCUAAGCAUCAGGUAACAUUAAAUCGUACCCCAAACCGACACAGGUGGUCAGGUAGAGAAUACCAAGGCGCUUGAGAGAACUCGGGUGAAGGAACUAGGCAAAAUGGUGCCGUAACUUCGGGAGAAGGCACGCUGGUGUGUAGGUGAAGUCCCUGCGGAUGGAGCUGAGACCAGUCGAAGAUACCAGCUGGCUGCAACUGUUUAUUAAAAACACAGCACUGUGCAAACACGAAAGUGGACGUAUACGGUGUGACGCCUGCCCGGUGCCGGAAGGUUAAUUGAUGGGGUUAUCCGUAAGGAGAAGCUCUUGAUCGAAGCCCCGGUAAACGGCGGCCGUAACUAUAACGGUCCUAAGGUAGCGAAAUUCCUUGUCGGGUAAGUUCCGACCUGCACGAAUGGCGUAAUGAUGGCCAGGCUGUCUCCACCCGAGACUCAGUGAAAUUGAACUCGCUGUGAAGAUGCAGUGUACCCGCGGCAAGACGGAAAGACCCCGUGAACCUUUACUAUAGCUUGACACUGAACAUUGAGCCUUGAUGUGUAGGAUAGGUGGGAGGCUUUGAAGCGUGGACGCCAGUCUGCGUGGAGCCAACCUUGAAAUACCACCCUUUAAUGUUUGAUGUUCUAACGUUGGCCCCUUACCGGGGUUGCGGACAGUGUCUGGUGGGUAGUUUGACUGGGGCGGUCUCCUCCCAAAGCGUAACGGAGGAGCACGAAGGUUAGCUAAUCCUGGUCGGACAUCAGGAGGUUAGUGCAAUGGCAUAAGCUAGCUUGACUGCGAGCGUGACGGCGCGAGCAGGUGCGAAAGCAGGUCAUAGUGAUCCGGUGGUUCUGAAUGGAAGGGCCAUCGCUCAACGGAUAAAAGGUACUCCGGGGAUAACAGGCUGAUACCGCCCAAGAGUUCAUAUCGACGGCGGUGUUUGGCACCUCGAUGUCGGCUCAUCACAUCCUGGGGCUGAAGUAGGUCCCAAGGGUAUGGCUGUUCGCCAUUUAAAGUGGUACGCGAGCUGGGUUUAGAACGUCGUGAGACAGUUCGGUCCCUAUCUGCCGUGGGCGCUGGAGAAUUGAGGGGGGCUGCUCCUAGUACGAGAGGACCGGAGUGGACGCAUCACUGGUGUUCGGGUUGUCAUGCCAAUGGCACUGCCCGGUAGCUAAAUGCGGAAGAGAUAAGUGCUGAAAGCAUCUAAGCACGAAACUUGCCCCGAGAUGAGUUCUCCCUGAGACUUUAAGUCUCCUGAAGGAACGUUAAAGACGAUGACGUUGAUAGGCCGGGUGUGUAAGCGCAGCGAUGCGUUGAGCUAACCGGUACUAAUGAACCGUGAGGCUUAACCUU